UUCACAUACCCCACAAGUUCUUCCUUAAUUGUAAGUCUGAGCACCUCUUCUUGUUGGCUCCUGUAUCAUCUGUGUCCAGAAUUUGUCAUCAAUGCACUCCAGAGCAGUCCUGGAUUUGCUGUACGUUGGUGCAUUGCCCUUCUUGCAGUGAAGAGGCGAGGGUGAAGUCCCCCAUGAGAAUCAGAGACUGAAAACAUGAGUUUUUUUCCAGUUAUAUGAAGACAGUAAAAGAUUAGGACUAUAAGGGCUUUCAGGGUUAGGGUUGUAAGGGUUUUUAGGGUUAGCGAUUUAGGGUUGGUAGCGGUAGGGUUAAGGGUAAAGGUUAGGGUUAGGGGUUAGGAUUAGGGUUAUGGUUAGGGUUUAGGGUUAGGGUUAGGGUUAGGGUUAGGGUUAGGGUUAGGGUUAGGGUUAGGGUUAGGGUUAGGGUUAGGGUUAGGGUUAGGGUUAGGGUUAGGGUUAGGGUUAGGGUUAGGGUUAGGGUUAGGGUUAGGGUUAGGGUUAGGGUUAGGGUUUGGCUUAGAAUUAGUAGUAGUGUUAUCGUUAGGUUUAGGAUUAGGUUUAGGUAUAGAGUUACGAUUAGGUUUAGGGUUAUUUUUAAGUUUAGUGUUAGCGUUAGGGAAUAGGAUUAGGGUUACGAGGUACGGUUAGGGUGUGUUGCAAUUUCCUAAAGAAACUGGGAAAGUUUAACUAACAUUCCCAUUUUCAAGAAUAUGUACAGCAUGGAAGAGGCUUUCAGGGUAGGGCAUAGCUGCCGUACCUGAACAUUACC
rnacentral:lncRNA from 1 species